rnacentral:rRNA from 1 species
UACGAAGGGUGCAAGCGUUACUCGGAAUUACUGGGCGUAAAGCGCGCGUAGGUGGUUUGUUAAGUCUGUUGUGAAAGCCCCGGGCUCAACCUGGGAAUGGCAAUGGAUACUGGCAGGCUAGAGUGCGGUAGAGGGUAGUGGAAUUCCCGGUGUAGCGGUGAAAUGCGUAGAGAUCGGGAGGAACACCAGUGGCGAAGGCGGCUACCUGGACCAGCACUGACACUGAGGCACGAAAGCGUGGGGAGCAAACAGG